CCAUGCAUGUCUAAGUAGCACCUUAGCUGUAAUAGCAAUAAACAAAAGUGAAACCGCAAACUGCUCAGUAAAACAGAAAUAAUGGAAGAGAAUGUAGCCAUUGACUUGGAUAACUGUGGCAACUCUAGAGCUAAUACAUGCAAUCAAUGUACGGCAUCCUCUUUAUUGAGGUACGUGCGCACUUAUUAGAUAGCCAUAUAACCAAAUAUGUAAUAUAACAUUAUUGGCGGUGAAACUAGAUAAUUGCAGAUCGCAGUAGUCCUCGACUGGCGACGUUUCUCUUACUGUUGUUUCUAACCUAUCAAACUCGUUGGCCAGAAAUGGUAUUACCAUGGUAUUAACGGGUACAGGGAAUCAGGGUUCGAUUCUGGAGAGGUAGCCUUAGAAAUCGCUAUUACAGCUAAGGAGGGCAGCAGGCGCGCAACUUACCCACUCCUUGAUCCGGGGAGGUAGUGACAAGGUCUGAUAAUUCAGAUCUCUAGUAUGACUUCUGCAAUUGGAUUAAAUGUCAAUUAAAUACAAUAAGAUAUAUGUUGGAGGGCAAGUCUGGUGCCAGCAGCCGCGGUAACACCAGCUCCAAAAGCGUAUAUAUAAAUUGUUGCAGUUAAAACGUUCAUGAUUUUUGGCCCACUUUUUUCUCGAGUUGCUUUUGACCUACAGUGUAGGUAGUAGCUCUUGCGAGAAGUGUAUUAUUGAUGACGGGCAGACGCAAAUAUGUAGGCAGGGGGAGUGUGUGUGCGAGCGUGUGUGUGCGCGCGCGCUAAAUGAUGGUGGUGUGCGUCUGUUAACAUUGUCCUCCGGGGCGUGUUCUGCGUACAUCGAUAUUAUUUGGAAGCGCGCGUACUCUGCGAUCAAACACCAUUCCACCCACGCCUAUGUACGUCUACCGUGCUGUGUUGAUACUCUUUAUUGAGUGUUGCGCAAACAUUGAUUGAUUACUUUGAUAAAAUCAGAGCGCUCAACGCAGGCUGUGCAUUGAUGCUGGACUGUUUUUAUAUAACAUAGAAUAUUGAAAGAAGACAGUACUUAUGAAUUUGGUGAUAGAUAACUGUAAUGAAUAAUAGGAGUAUGUUGGGGACACUGGUAUUGAGUGGUAAGGGGUGAAAUCCAAAGAAUUUUACACGACUCUCUACCGCUCUAGCAAGUGUCAAGUCUGCUCUGGUUAAUCAAGAGCGAGAGUUGAAGGUGCGAAGGCGAUUAGAUACCGCCCUAGUUUUAACCGUAAACAAUAUCAACCAGCAAAUAGGUAACGUUAAAAAUUGUUAUUUAGUUACCUAGAAUCCCUCGGAGAAAUUAGAGUUUUUCGAUUCCGGGGGAAGUAUGGUUGCAAAACUGAAACUUAAAGGAAUUGACGGAAGGGCACCACAAGGCGUGGAGCUUGCGGCUUAAUUUGACUCAACACGGGGAAACUUACCAGGUCCGAACAUAUGUUAGUAAGACAGAUUGAAAGCUCUUUCUCGAAUAUGUGGGUGGUGGUGCAUGGCCGUUCAUAGUUCGUGGAGUGAUCUGUCUGGUCAAUUCCGCUAACGAACGAGAUACAAACAUAAUAAAUAGAUGCUUGCAGACGUAUACUGUUGAUGCUAUAUAGUGUAUAUACUGUGCGUGUCCAUGCUCUCUGUUUGUGUGUGUUUUAUGUAUGUAUGUGUGUAUGUCUUGUACAUGCAUAUAGAAUAUAUAUAAUCGCAUAUUAAUGGUGGUGGUGUGGUAUGCGUAUGGGGUGAUGCAUUAUGUAGAGAAGGUAUACCUGCAAGUAGGUCUCAUGCCCAAAUAAGCAGAGACACAUGGCUUCUUAAAUGGACCAAUUGUAGAUAGCAAGAUGAGAUUGUGCGAUAACAGGUCUGUGAUGCCCUUAGAUGUUCUGGGCUGCACGCGUGCUACAAUGAAUGUAUCAAUGCGCAUCCCUUGAUUGUAAGAUCUGGGUAAACGGUUGAAUUACAUUCGCGCUUGGAAUUGUGGCACUGUAAAUGUUCUCAUGAACCUGGAAUGCCUCGUAAGGUUGGGUCAUGAGCCUAUCUUGAAUACGUCCCUGCCCUUUGUACACACCGCCCGUCGCUACUACCGAUUGAAUUGUAUAGCGAGGUCUUCAGACGUAAUUUAGAGACUGGCGCUUAUCGCGCAUCAGUCUCAUAGAUUAUGAAAGUUGAUCGAGCUAUAUAAUUUAGAGGAAGUAAAAGUCGUAACAAGGUUUC
rnacentral:rRNA from 1 species